AUGGAGUUGCCUCCCGCUUAUUUAGAUUAUGACGCUAUGGUCAGACAUCGUUUUCGUUUGAGGAAUGAACAAUUCCUCCAGUAUCGACUAAUCUUUGACAGACGUUGCGAUGUCCAUGUUACUCUCCCUGCUCCUUCCCUUUUUGAUUACCAGGCAAAACGAAGAUAUGUUGUUACCAGGGAGGAGGCAACCGAACACGAGGGGAGAGUGGAGGCAGCUCGUCAAAAUGCCGCAGCCCAGGAUGCAUUGGCUGCUGCAUCUCAGUACGACCCCAGUUAUAACUUUGGAUAUCAGCCAGGCUAUCCUUGGCAUUAG
rnacentral:rRNA from 1 species